GACGAACGCUGGCGGCGUGCCUAAUACAUGCAAGUCGAGCGGACCACUUCGGUGGUCAGCGGCGGACGGGUGAGUAACACGUGGGCAACCUGCCCGUUAGACUGGGAUAACACCGGGAAACCGGUGCUAAUACCGGAUAAUCCUUUCCUUCACAUGCAGGGAAGCUGAAAGACGGUUUCGGCUGUCACUUACAGAUGGGCACGCGGCGCAUUAGCUAGUUGGUGAGGUAACGGCCCACCAAGGCAACGAUGGGUAGCCGCCCUGAGAGGGUGGUGGGCCACACAGGGACAGAGACAGGGCCCAGACCCCAACGGAGGGCAGCAGUAGGGAAUCUUCCGCGAUGGUCGAAAGUCUGACGGAGCAACGCCGCGUGAGCGAUGAAGGCCAUCGGGUCGUAAGGCUCUGUUGUCAGGGAAGAACAAGUACCGGAGUAACUGCCGGUACCUUGACGGUACCUGACCAGAAAGCCACGGCUAACUACGUGCCAGCCGCCGCCGUAACAC
rnacentral:rRNA from 1 species